UACAGAGGGUGCGAGCGUUAAUCGGAGUUACUGGGCGUAAAGGGCGCGUAGGCGGUUAGUUAAGAUAGAUGUGAAAGCCCUGGGCUUAACCUAGGAACGGCAUCUGUAACUGACUAGCUGGAGUAUUGUAGAGGGUAGUGGAAUUUCCGGUGUAGCGGUGAGAUGCGUAGAGAUCGGAAGGAACACCAGUGGCGAAGGCGGCUACCUGGACAAAUACUGACGCUGAGGCGCGAGAGCGUGGGGAGCAAACAGG
rnacentral:rRNA from 1 species